rnacentral:other from 1 species
UUUUCCCUGCUUUGCACGACAGGGGUCUAAGUUCUCCUACCCAACAUGAUGAUCAACGGGAGCUGGCGUUCGUGGGCGGACGGCAUGUCCGAUUUUUCCGGAAUCUCCGGCAAACCUGCGACAGGUUCCCACCUUAUUCCCAUAAGGUCAGGAGAUCGCCCCACCGGCAAGGCGGGGAUUUU